AUUGAACGCUGGCGGCAGGCUUAACACAUGCAAGUCGAGCGGGGUGAUGGUGCUUGCACUAUCACUUAGCGGCGGACGGGUGAGUAAUGCUUAGGAAUCUGCCUAUUAGUGGGGGACAACAUCUCGAAAGGGAUGCUAAUACCGCAUACGUCCUACGGGAGAAAGCAGGGGAUCACUUGUGACCUUGCGCUAAUAGAUGAGCCGAAGUCGGAUUAGCUAGUUGGUGGGGUAAGGGCCUACCAAGGCGACGAUCUGUAGCGGGUCUGAGAGGAGGAUCCGCCACACUGGGACUGAGACACGGCCCAGACUCCUACGGGAGGCAGCAGUGGGGAAUAUUGGACAAUGGGGGGAACCCUGAUCCAGCCAUGCCGCGUGUGUGAAGAAGGCCUUAUGGUUGUAAAACACUUUAAGCGAGGAGGAGGCUCUUUUGGUUAAUACCCAAGAUGAGUGGACGUUACUCGCAGAAUAAGCACCGGCUAACUCUGUGCCAGCAGCCGCCGUAA
rnacentral:rRNA from 1 species